UCGUUGAUGGUCAGUAUUUGAGGGAAUGCACCGCUCAUAACCCUCCAAAUGCCUUCAUUGUCAUUCAAACCCCUUCUUCUAAUGACGAAGAGGCUCAAACCCACUCCUCCCUCCACUCCCUCCACCAAGCCAUCGCCACCGCCUCCAUCUCCUCCUACUCCUCAACUCUCCCAUUCAAAACCAACCACUGUCUCCCUCCACCACUCGUCCAAAAACCCAAACAAAACCCUACCUCUCCUCAAAUCCCCCCAAUCCCCAUCAUCCUCCAACUGGGUCUCUCUAAAUCUCACCAGAUCAGACCUCUCUUUGCCUCUCACUUUCCCCACCGGCCAAACCUUCCGUUGGAAACAAACCAACCCCUUUGAGUUCACCGGCGUCGUUGGCUCUCAUCUCAUCUCUCUCAACCAUCUUCCAAACGGCGACGUUUCAUAUUGCCUUCACUUUUCUUCUACAUCCUCCUCCGCCGCCGCCAGAUUGGCAUUACUUGAUUUUCUUAAUGCCAGCAUCUCCCUGAGCUCCAUUUGGGAGGUAUUCUCGGCGGCUGAUCCGAGAUUCGAUGCGUUGGCUCGCCAUUUUGAGGGGGCUCGAGUUCUCAGGCAAGACCCACUUGAAUGUUUGAUUCAGUUUUUGUGUUCUUCCAAUAAUAAUAUUGGGAGAAUCACCAAAAUGGUGGAUUACAUCUCAUCACUUGGGAAUUAUUUGGGUAAUGUUGGAGGUUUUGAUUUCUAUGAAUUCCCUUCUUUGGAGAGGCUGUCCUUGGUCUCUGAGGCUGAGCUUAGAGAGGCAGGCUUUGGUUACAGGGCUAAAUACAUAAUUGGCGCUGUGAAUGCACUAAAAGCAAAACCUGUUGGAGGUGCAGAAUGGCUUCUGUCCCUUCGUGAUUCGGAUCUUGAAGAGGUGAUCGAAGCCCUUUCUACUUUACCGGGCGUGGGUCCAAAGGUAGCAGCUUGUGUUGCCCUCUUCUCUCUCGACCAGCACCACGCCAUUCCUGUUGACACACAUGUCUGGCAGAUUGCUACAAGGUACCUUGUUCCUGAGCUUGCUGGUGCACGCCUAACACCAAAGCUUUGCAAUCGUGUGGCUGAGGCAUUUGUCAGCAAGUAUGGAAAAUAUGCUGGAUGGGCUCAAACUCUACUUUUCAUCGCUGAGUUGCCUCAACAGAAGGCCCUUUUACCAGCAAAUCUUGAGAAUACCAAAAGGAAAAGAUCUACAAAGCAGCAGAAAGAUAUGGCGCAUGCUGGUAACAUAGACCAAUGUGAAUAGCUAUAUUUAGUUGGUCCCAGGUUUUCGAGGUUGAGGUAAAUCCUGAUUUCUCUUGUAGAGCAAGAUUCAAAGGUUUGUUCAAAGAUCAAAGAUGAAGAUGCGAGAGGUUUGUUCAAAGUACAAAUUACUGGUAAAUGUGGGAUACCGAAUGAUGAUUGAUGUGAUUAAUGCUAAGCUUUGCUUGCUUCUGAACGAGUAAAGUUUUCGAUAGGAAUAUAGUACUUAAAUAUUUUGGUUUGCUUUGGCUUGAUGGUGUUUCCUCCUUAAGGAAGAACGCAGAAUUUAUUCACCACUUUUGGGGAAGUCUCACAUUCCAUUCCUUUGCAGCAUUUCAAUUGUAAUAUGUUAGGAAAGUUCAGUUGCGAAAAAAAUUGAUUUUCUGUAACAAGAGAACUGUGGUUGCAUUUUAUUGUAGAGACUUGACAUGAAUCAAUUAAUAAUUGAAGUAUUGUGUAAAUGUUUCUAGGACAUCAAAAAGAAUGAAAUAAGCUGUGGUAAGGGAGAAGAUUAUUGCUAAAGCUAUUUAUAUAUUGAAAGCUACUGUGAAUUAUCAUGCCAUCUACUUCAUGCUAGGCGUAUUUGAUCAUUUAUGUGCAUUGUGCAUCGACCAACAAUGUUUUCGUGACAUGUGGACAUGGAUCGCCUCGAAAGUUCAGAUUUGAGAUUGGAAUCGAGCAUUUGGCCCUCCCUAGACAUGCCUGAAACAUCACAAUGCAAUUUUCAUGAAAAAACUCACAUGUUCUACAAUGGCUCUGGAGUUUGGCGAGUGACACAGUCCAAUAGCAUAGCUUUGACAAUCACCAGAUGGGGUACCAAAGCUUGCAAAUAAGAUGUUGGAGAUUUUCUUUUUACUAGGGCAGCUUAAUUGGACCUUAGGCCUUCUGGUUCUGUUCUUCACUCUUCUUACCUUUUGUUUCUUUGCACCCAUCCACGAAGCUACUAAAGGAUAAUGUGAUUCAGACACUUGCCCACAUGUUUUGGUAAUCAAAACGGAAUCCAAAGAUAUCUCAACUGGGUUUCCUGUUUCUUCUUCAAGAAUAACUAACUGGUUGUCAGUUGGCUUAAGGAAGGAACGUGGUACAUUAUACCUGGAUUGAAGGAGAGACAGAAUUGUAUAAAGAUGCAGGAAACUAGUGGAAGGAAAUAUGAGACAUAAAGUAUGAUAUAACACUAAAUAUCAAGGUGAGUAAACCAUUUACCAUUUCUGUGAAGGCUCUCCUUUUGGGGUGAGGAACGAGACCCAGUACCGACCAAUGCCCCGGCCAUUAACCCAAACUGCACCCUUCCCCAUGGAACCAAGGUUCAGUGCAAUUGGAUCAUCACCAGGAGGUGCAUCAAACUGAGUCUGCCCGAUUAGCAAUGAAUGACAAUGACAAAGGUCAGUUAAUGAACAUUUGAAUUCAAGAUAGUUGCUAUUGAUUAUUGGUAGUACCUUGUACCAUGUGAGCGGCUGAGAAGAGUUUCCUAACCUGCUCCACUGAACAUUGCUUGACCCAGUGUCUAAAAAUAUUUGGGAUUGCUCUCCUGAUAGGCCAACCUUUGCAAAAAUAUUAACAAGAGGUUAGUUUUAAGUAUGUGCUUGCGGAUGUGUACUCUUUUGUGCAUAUUACAUCAGAUUCAAGUGUAUAUGAACUCAUAUUAGGAGUUUAAAAGUUAAUGAACCUUGUAUCCCCAAUGUUGUUCUGAGAAAUCCUCGCCUUGAAUUCCCACUCUUCGCAGUCCAGCAACUCUGGUCUCAAGAAAUGCUCCAGAAUCCUUUUCGCAUUAAAACUAUCAGAAUUCACUAAGCGUACAGCGUUAAGACAUAUCAACUAUGGAAGGGAAGAUUAAAAGAUUCGUACCGGUAACCCAACCAUUACACUGAGCAAUGAGAUAUUGUUGAUGCCAUUUCUCAAUGUAAUAUUUUUCGCCAAAGAGAAACCUUUUUCUUUGUAAAUUCCAUGGGCGGAGCCUAUAAAACAUCAACUUUUAAA